UAGAAGGGGAAGAGGCUGGCGGGUGGGGCGGGGGCAGCGCAGGAUUUAAAGGGGCCGCGGCCCUCCCAGGAGAGGGGGCUGGGUAGGAGGCUCAAGGGCGGAUAUGGGGGCCCUGGGUCAGUCCAGAGGCAGCAUGCGGAGCGUACAGAGUCCCUAAGCGCACGCUGCAGACCCAGGCUGUCGGGUGCCACUGUUGAGGUCUGCAGAUAACAUCAGGGAGGGGACUGGAGAAAUGGAGGCUGCUGUUUCAGGAGAACUUCAGGGUUUAUUUUGGCACCCAUCCCGUAAGCUUUCACCUGGCUACUCAUUAA